GAUGAACGCUGGCGGCGUGCCUAACACAUGCAAGUCGAACGAAGCACUUUUACCGGAGAUUCGUCGAAGGUGAAUUUGACUUAGUGGCGGACGGGUGAGUAAUGUAUGAGCAACCUGCCUUUCAGAGGGGGACAACAGUUGGAAACGACUGCUAAUACCGCAUAAUGUACGAUGGGGGCAUCCCUGACGUACCAAAGGAGCAAUCCGCUGAAAGAUGGGCUCAUAUCUGAUUAGUUAGUUGGUGGGGUAACGGCUCACCAAGACGACGAUCAGUAGCUGGUUUGAGAGGAUGAUCAGCCACAAUGGGACUGAGACACGGCCCAUACUCC
rnacentral:rRNA from 1 species